GGGCCGGUAGCUCAGCCUGGUAGAGCACUUGAAUAAGUGAUUUGGUGAAACUUUUAUCAGGUAAGUUGAAAAAAGAGCCUACUGUAAAGCAAUCAAGUGGUCGCGAGUUCGAAUCUCGUCCGGCCCA
rnacentral:tRNA from 1 species